rnacentral:tRNA from 1 species
GAGGGCAUAGCUCAAGGGGUAGAGCGCAUGCUCAGCAUGCAUGAGGUCUUGGGUUCAAUCCUAGUAUCUCCU